rnacentral:rRNA from 1 species
AACGAACGCUGGCGGCAGGCCUAACACAUGCAAGUCGAGCGAGACCUUCGGGUCUAGCGGCGGACGGGUUAGUAACGCGUGGGAACGUGCCCUUCUCUGCGGAAUAGCCACUGGAAACGGUGAGUAAUACCGCAUACGCCCUUCGGGGGAAAGAUUUAUCGGAGAAGGAUCGGCCCGCGUUAGAUUAGAUAGUUGGUGGGUAACGGCCUACCAAGUCUACGAUCUAUAGCUGGUUUUAGAGGAUGAUCAGCAACACUGGGACUGAGACACGGCCCAGACUCCUACGGGAGGCAGCAGUGGGGAAUCUUAGACAAUGGGCGCAAGCCUGAUCUAGCCAUGCCGCGUGUGUGAUGAAGGUCUUAGGAUCGUAUAGCACUUUCGCCAGGGAUGAUAAUGACAGUACCUGGUAAAGAAACCCCGGCUAACUCCGUG